GAAUCACGCUGGCGGCGUGCCUCAGACAUGCAAGUCGAACGCGAAAGCCCCCUUCGGGGGGCAAGUAGAGUGGCGCACGGGUGAGUAACACGUAGGUAAUCUACCUUUGGAUGGGGAAUAACAACCGGAAACGGUUGCUAAUACCGCAUAAUGCAGCGGCACCUAAUGGUGACAGUUGUUAAAGCGGGGGAUCGCAAGACCUCGCGUCUGAAGAGGAGCCUGCGGCGGAUUAGCUAGUUGGUAAGGUAACGGCUCACCAAGGCGACGACGCGUAGCCGGACUGAGAGGUUGGCCGGCCUCAUUGGGACUGAGACACUGCCCAGACUCCUACGGGGGGCUGCAGUAACGAAUCUUCCGCAAUGCACGAAAGUGUGACGGAGCGACGCCGCGUGUGGGACGAAGUCCUUCGGGAUGUAAACCACUGUCAGGGGUUACCAAGUUCUGAGGAGCCCCAGAGGAAGGCACGGCUAACUCUGUGCCAGCAGCCGCGGUAAGACAGAGGUGCCAAGCGUUAGGCGGAAUCACUGGGCUUAAAGCGUGUGUAGGCGGAUUUGUAAGUACCUUGUGAAAUCCCACGGCUCAACCGUGGAACUGCUCGGUAUACUGCUUAUCUUGAGCCACUUAGGGGCUGUCGGAACAAACGGUGGAGCGGUGAAAUGCGUAGAUAUCGUUUGGAACGCCAACGGUGAAAACAGACAGCUGGGAGUGUGCUGACGCUGAGACACGAAAGCCAGGGGAGCGAACGGGAUUAGAUACCCCGGUAGUCCUGGCCCUAAACGAUGUCGACUAGAUCGCGGCGGCUCUGACGCCGUCGCGGUCGAAGCAAGAGUGCUAAGUCGACCGCCUGGGAAGUACGGUCGCAAGGCUAAAACUCAAAGGAAUUGACGGGGGCUCACACAAGCGGUGGAGCAUGUGGUUCAAUUCGAAGCAACGCGCAGAACCUUACCUGGGCUUGACAUGCCAGGAUUAUCCCCAUGAAAGUGGGGUAGGCCCUUCGGGGUACAACUGGUACAGGUGCUGCAUGGCUGUCGUCAGCUCGUGUCGUGAGAUGUCGGGUUAAGUCCCUUAACGAGCGAAACCUUUGCCCUUAGUUACCAGCGGGUUAUGCCGGGGACUCUAAGGGGACUGCCGGUGUCAAACCGGAGGAAGGUGGAGAUGACGUCAAGUCCUCAUGGCCUUUAUGCCCAGGGCCACACACGUGCUACAAUGCGGCGCACAAAGCGAACCUAAAACGCGAGUUCGAGGAAAUCGCAGAAAUCGCCGCCCAGUUCAGAUUGGAGGCUGCAACUCGCCUCCAUGAAGUUGGAAUCGCUAGUAAUCGCGGAUCAGCUACGCCGCGGUGAAUGUGUUCC
rnacentral:rRNA from 1 species